rnacentral:rRNA from 1 species
GUCUACGGCCAUACCACCCUGAACGCGCCCGAUCUCGUCUGAUCUCGCGAAGCUAAGCAGGGUCGGGCCUGGUUAGUACUUGGAUGGGACACCGUCUUGGAAUACCGGGUGCUGUAGGCU